rnacentral:rRNA from 1 species
UUGAUUCGAUAGUGCUUUCGUUGCUAUAUUUUUAUUUGUUUGUAUAUUUUUUAUGAACAGAUUUUUUUUAUUAAUAUUCAAGAAAAAAUUAUUUUAGCUAUAGAUUAUUAUUGUAUUGUGAAAGAACUGGUUUAUGUUUUUUAUAAGAAAAAUUGAUUUUUUGUACCUUGUGUCUCAGGGUUUAUUUAACUGUUUUAUCGAUUUAAGUUUCCCGAUUCUUAAAGGGCUAUUAUUUUAUUAUUUUUAUUGUGUCAUAAAUAUUUUUAAUAUAAUUAUAGAAAUGAAACGUUAUUCGUUUUAAGAUGUAUCUGGUUUUCUAAGAAAUGAAUUUAAUUUGCUUCUUGCGGGGUGUUGGGCCUAUUUAAUGGUUUGACGUUUAGCAGGGGGAAAUUUAAGCGGGGACAAGCUCGUUUAAAAAUUUUUAUUUAGCAAAGGUUGAAACUAGGCCAGUAGGAUUAGAAUUUUCCAUUGUUUACAGUAUGUUGUAAUUGAUCUAGUUUAGUAUUUUAUUUUUAUGUUUAAUAAGUUAUUUAUUAGAAUGUUGUUUAAAAUUUUGUUGGUCAAGAAAAAUUGAUAGAAUUAGUAUAUUUGUGUGUAUUUUUAUUAUCGGGGGCAAGAAAAGUUAAAGGAAUUCGGCAAAUUAGCCUCCACCUGUUUAUUAAAAACAUGGCCUUUUGAUUAUAAUAUAAGGUCUGGCCUGCUCUAUGAGGUAUUAAAUGGCCGCAGUAAUUUGACUGUGCUAAGGUAGCAUAAUCAUUAGUUUCUUAAUUAGGGGCUGGAAUGAAAGGUUUGAUGAGAGGAUAACUGUCUCUGGUUUUUUUCUAGAAUUUUAUUUUUAAGUGAGAAAGCUUAAAUUUUUUUGAAAGACGAGAAGACCCUAUAGAGUUUUAUAAGUUUUUUUUUUAUCUAUUUAUGAAAAUUAUUAUAAUAAAGAAUUGGCUUAUUUGGUUGGGGUGAUUAUAAAAUUUAUUUAACUUUUAUUAUUUCAGUUCCACUAAUUAGUGCUUGUUUGAUCCGGUAAGUCCGAUUAUAAGAAUAAAUUACCUUAGGGAUAACAGCGUAAUCUUUUUUUAGAGUCCUAAUCGAGAAAAGGGGUUGCGACCUCGAUGUUGGAUUAAAGUUAGCUUAGGGUGCAAAAGUUCUAGGGCUGGGUCUGUUCGACCUUUAAAAUUUUACAUGAUCUGAGUUUAAACCGGCGUGAGCCAGGUUGGUUUCUAUCUUCAAUUUAGUAAAAAAUUUUAGUACGAAAGGACCAAAUUUU